rnacentral:rRNA from 1 species
UACGUAGGGUCCGAGCGUUGUCCGGAAUUAUUGGGCGUAAAGGGCUCGUAGGCGGUCUGUCGCGUCGGGAGUGAAGACUUACAGCUUAACUGUGAGCGUGCUUCCGAUACGGGCAGACUUGAGGUAUUCAGGGGAGAACGGAAUUCCUGGUGUAGCGGUGAAAUGCGCAGAUAUCAGGAGGAACACCGGUGGCGAAGGCGGUUCUCUGGGAAUAUCCUGACGCUGAGGAGCGAAAGUGUGGGGAGCGAACAGG